rnacentral:misc_RNA from 1 species
AAGAGCUGUAUGACGGGAGACUUUCAAGUACGAUUCCGUAAACGGCAAGGGCUGAAAUGCUCUUGCCCACUCGAC